AACGAACGUUGGCGGCGUGGAUUAGGCAUGCAAGUCGAACGAAUCCCAUAGCUGUAGCAAUACAGUGGUGGGGGAAGUGGCGAAAGGGGCAGUAAUGCAUGGGUAACCUACCUUCAGGUCGUGGAUAGCCUUUCUAACGAUUGGGUAAUACACGGCGUGGUCUUUGGGUGGCAUCACCUGAUGUCUAAAGAAUUUCGCCUGGAGAGGGGCCCAUGUCGUAUCAGCUAGUUGGUGAGGUAACGGCUCACCAAGGCUAAAACGCGUAGCGGGUGUGAGAGCACGACCCGCGCCACUGGCACUGAGACACUGGCCAGACUCCUGCGGAAGGCUGCAGUCGAGGAUCUUCGGCAAUGGGCGAAAGCCUGACCGAGCGACGCCGCGUGUGCGAUGAAGGCCUUCGGGUUGUAAAGCACUGUCGAGGGGGAGGAAGCCGAAAGGUUGACCUAUCCCUGGAGGAAGCACGGGCUAAGUUCGUGCCAGCAGCCGCGGUAAAAC
rnacentral:rRNA from 1 species